UCCUUGACGGCUGCAGCUACUUUGGUUUCCACGCUCCACUUUCACACACACCCUCCUCCCAGCGCCACUCGACCACUCCAUUUAAAACUUGCUUUCACACGUAAGAGCCGCCGGCAGCAACGGAACUCCCGCCUUUCGCACCGCUCCGAACGGGCAGAGCGCCGCCGCCUCAGGAUGAGCAGCACAGCGCCGAGCCCGUGGCUCUGUGCGAUCGGUGCUCGCGCCGUGCCCUGGCGCCACGGCCACUUCCGGUGUGCGCGGGGCGCUGCGGGAGGGGGCGAGCGGGAUAGCGGUGGUGCUUCCGGUCCAGCCGGCCUCUUCCCUUUCCACGCAGCUUUCAGUCAGAGGACACGAGGAAAAAGGACAGAGAGAAGAUAACAGCAGCACCGAAUGCAGCGAACGUGGAGUCAUGGAUCUGAAAUUCACUUCAACAAGAAAACACGUUUCCAUCAGUGUACCUUCCAAAUCUCAGACUAUGUCACCCCAUAUCAAAUCAGUAGAUGAUGUUAUAGUUCUUGGCAUUAAUCUUAGCAAAUUUAACAAGCCUGCUCAAUUUUUCAUCUGUGUUUCUGGAGUUUUUAUGUUUUAUCUGAUCUAUGGAUAUUUACAGGAAUUGAUAUUUUCAGUGGAAGGUUUUAAACCUUUUGGUUGGUACCUCACUUUAGUGCAAUUUGGAUUUUAUUCCGUUUUUGGACUAAUAGAAUUGCAGUUGAUUCAGGACAAAAGGAGAAGAAUUCCUGGCAAAACCUACAUGAUAAUAGCCUUUUUAACAGUGGGAACAAUGGGCUUGUCAAAUACCUCUUUAGGAUAUCUUAAUUACCCUACUCAAGUCAUCUUCAAGUGCUGUAAACUGAUUCCAGUUAUGGUAGGCGGGGUUUUUAUACAAGGAAAACGUUACAACAUUGCAGAUGUGUCUGCUGCCCUGUGUAUGAGUCUGGGAUUAAUAUGGUUUACUUUAGCUGACAGCACAGUUGCACCAAACUUCAACUUGACAGGUGUGGUCCUAAUAUCCCUUGCACUCUGUGCAGAUGCAGUUAUAGGAAACGUACAGGAAAAAGCGAUGAAGUUGCACAAUGGUUCUAAUUCAGAAAUGGUUUUGUACUCUUACUCAAUAGGUUUUCUGUAUAUUUUAUUUGGAUUAACUUGCACUAGUGGAUUAAGCCCUGCAGUAGCAUUUUGCUCACAGCAUCCAAUUCAGACUUAUGGUUAUGCAUUCCUUUUCUCCCUGACUGGAUAUUUUGGCAUAUCCUUUGUUCUAGCUUUGAUUAAAAUCUUUGGUGCCCUUCUGGCUGUAACAGUAACAACAGGAAGAAAAGCAAUGACAAUUGUGCUUUCUUUUUUGUUCUUUGCGAAGCCAUUCACAUUCCAAUACGUGUGGUCAGGCUUACUGGUCGUCCUUGGAAUAUUUCUUAAUGUUUACAGUAAGAAUAUGGAUAAAAUCAAACUGCCUUCACUAUAUGGUAUUUGGAAAAAAAAUGUGGAAGAAAGAAAAACAAGGACGUUGUCACAAACUGUAUAGAGAGUGGUUUAUGCCAUGUCUAGACUCUGACUUCCUGUUUUAUUGGAACAAUCUUCAACUGAUUCACUUUCCAAAGGGAACAUUAUUAAAACCAAAGGAGCUGAAGGCAUAGUAUCUGCUUGCAGAUAGCUGGAAAUGCACAUUUUUGUGAGCCCUUUCUCCAGAGCACUUGAAUUCAUCAUGAGAGGCAUUACAGGCCAUUGUCAGUUGGCAUUACCAGGCAAUGAAGGACAGCAGCUCCUGGCAGACUGCUGAGAAGCUGCACUCCCAAUGUGACACAGUAGAAGACUUACUUGGGCAUUGUAAUGAUAUUGGCCCUGUGUCUGAUUCCAGAUUAGUGUUUCUUAGUCUUCGUUAAUUGUCUGGCUGAGGUAAUUUAAAUGUAAUACUGUAUUCACGUUUAAUGGAACCUAAUCAGCAACUGCUCGACCAAAUUGCGGUUUCGAAGGUGCAAGGUUUAGAAUAUGGUAUGUUGUCACUCUGUCACGUUAAAUAAAAAUGUUGUUUUUUUGUUUUUUUUUUUUAAUAAGUUACUGAUCAGGUCAGCACAAAACUUAUUUAUUGUCAUAAUUUUCAUUUUAAUGGAAAUUUUAAGGCAUCAUUUCACUUGGUGGUCAUUGCUUGCAAGUAAUGAAAAUAAGACUGUUUGAGCAGUCAUCACCUGUGCUUUUACAGCAGUGGAAGUGGACUUUGGACAUCAGCUAGCUGAGAAGAGAGAAUGACAGUGUAAUGAUUGAAACAGCAGUGUAAGAAUUUGUCAUUUGCUUAUUCUGUGGUGAAGCAACAAACUUUUCGUGGCCUAUGGCACUCUUUGUCAAAGUGGUGUGAAGAGAUAGGAAAGAAGGUUCCCUGAACCAGUAUCAUCAAAUCAAAACUCUAUUUUCAGUAUUGGCCUAAAGAAUAACAGCAUCUGAUACUGUAUUUAAGGCACAAACAAGCCCUUAUCUUACAUUUGGCCACUGCUUGUUCAAUCAUGGAAACUUUUUGGACUGUUUGCUGUUCUGGAAAGUGUACAGAAAGAAUUCAGCUAGCCACUCUAGGAAGCUGCCUCCUUGCCUGUGCCUGCAGCAAGCCCUGCUGUGAGAGCAUUCUGCCUGCAUUCCUGCCCAUGAUGGCACUGCACCAAACAGACUGGAAUAGACAUGCUGCUGCUGACACCAAUUGUUUGUAUUACAUAGAAGAAGAAAGAAAUAAAGCACUGUAUCAGUCUGGCUGAAGAUGGACAUGACCUCACUUGUUCAUCAACUGCAGUUGAAGUCAAUGCAAAAAGUGUCAGUACAGCUGGGUUUCAACAAACAAGCCAGCACAUAGAGUAGCCAUCACAUGUCAGUGCCAUCACAUCUUGUGCCCAUGUCCAUUUCCACUGAGCUCAGGAAGAAGACGGAAGGAGCAGAGCGCUAAGCUGAUGGACAUCAGCAGACAUUGCAAAGGCUCAGAACAUGCGGAAGUGAGUGAGAAAAUGUCCAUUAGCUUCAUUGAGCUAUGGAUGAAGAUUCUGAUCUAAGAAGAAGGAUGCUGCUGCUCCACAGUAAGCCCAGCAGUUAUCUUUUCCCCUGCACGUAUCCAAAAAGCAAUUUAACGCACCAGCAGCAGUUGCCUAUUAAUCGGGCUAGAAAAAAGGUAGCCUGGGAGGGUGGGUUUAAAAGAAGAAUGUGGCACUAUUAUGUAUUGCUUGCAAAGUAAACAAGCAGCAUCAGUAUAGUCAUUUCCUAAUUACGAGCUGUUUCAUAAACUGUAAAUGCUAACAUGGGAGAGGUAAAUCAUAGCAAUUUAAUUAAUAAAACACUUUAGACAAUUAAAUCCAUAUGUGCAUGUCCCGGGGCACAACAUCAAUAAUAGAAGCUUGCAGGCAUAUUUUGGAAAUUUUAUGCAAUCAUUUGCAGAUCUUGUAGUCAAUAAUUGGUACAAACUAUUUUAACUCUUCCUUGUCUAGUCUGGAAAUGGGAAAUUAAUUAUUAAUUAUUAUUAUUGUUAUUGAUUUCAUUCCUGUUAUUAUGUUACCUAUUUUCUUUCCAUACUGCGUGUCUAAUCUAAAAUGAUUUCUGCAAGGUCUGCAAGAGGAGGCUGAUUUUUUCCUUGGAUGUAUAUGAGCUCAGUAAGCAGUAUAAUGAAUUCACUUUGUCCUAUAAAGGCAGUAAAAUUGUCUUCCCAGCCUAUAGAGCUGGACUGCAAAUGGCAGACAUGCCGGAACUUCAAGGCUCUGAAGUCUGAAUCCAAUUUCCAAACAAAGGGAACCUGUGCCCUGGAGGAUCUUUCCAUGAUGAAAGCUGUUUUAAACAGUCCUUGGAGAUCUUAGGCACGUUGCUGAAUGGAGACUGUGCCAGCUAUCCAGAAAAGCAACUGGUAACCGUAUCCAAAGCAGUGUAGAAGACUUGCACAGUUUUCCUGUGAGAUACGGCUGUUAGUUGUAGGAUAUAAACCUCUAUAAAUUGGAAUACCUAGCACCCUACAGUGUCUGUUAAUGUUGGGAAUCCAUUUAGCCACAAUAGCAGCCACAUGCCCUGCAGAAGUGGCCACACUCCAUUCUCACACAGACAAGCUGCCAGAAGUAUCCAGAACUUAAAAAAUGUCAAAAGCCUCUGAGGAGCUAGCUCCAGGAUGAAGAAAUUGGCUGUGGCUAAACUCAGGCAACACUCAAAGGAGAGGUCAAGAACUGUGAGCCCACCAGCCAAAGACAAACUCCUUUUCAUCAAGGAAAUGCUGGAGUUUUUAAGGCUCGUUAAGUCGGGAGAAGGAAAUGGUAUCACUUUCCUGAAGAACUUGCUUCAUCAUUUUCCAUCAUCCUCCAAUCAAAGAGGAAAUUCUUUCCCUUCCUUCUAGACAAGGAUCUGGCCACCGGCAAGUACUCGGGUAACAGAGACUCAGCAGAGCUGCUGACUCAGAGAGUGGAUGGGCUGAAGCUGACAGUGUAGCUGUGAAAUCUCAGGGUUCUUUCUGCUGCAAGCUCAGCAUGACAGCAGUCACAUCCUUCCACUGGCUCCCAACUAAUUUCCCACGUCCAUGUAAGGCUUUGUUCUUACAACCUCGAGCUUUAAUGAAUCCAACCCUGGCAACAUCAAAGCAUGGUAUGAUCUUUGAACUACUGUAACUGCAUGUCUUCUGGGACAAUGCAAAUCAUAAAGACUUUUAAAGCAAUUAAUGGAUUCAGCCCCAUUUACAUCAAAGUUCCAAUUCUGAUUUAUGCACUGCCAUGACAGCAGCACUCCUUUGGGACAAGGCAGCUCACAAAAUCCCAGAAGUAGCACAUAAAUGCUGGGAACAUCUCCAACUAAAUGGAUCUUAUAAGGGGACCGUCUUCUGCAUUGGGACAGUCUUCCAAACAGGAGUUAAACAGAUACUAAGUUCUCCAGGGAAAACAGUCAAGCCACAAGAGAAACACCUUUCCCACACAGUUUAAUCCCCUGGACCUUAACUGUCAACCUGUUCUGAAACUUAAACUUUCACCUUCUUCCAGAUUAGAACCAAAGAAGAGAUGCAGCUCAAAAAAGAAGGCUUGCCAAAGACUUAAGGAAAUGUACAAGGGUCUCCACCAUUUCUGUUGAUUUCACACUAAAAUUAAAAAAAAAAAAAAAAAAGAUGGUGAUUUAAAAUUGUUGAGUAGGUAAGUAGAGAGGUGAAUUACCUGGCAAGCCACUGCUUACUUAUAAAAACACCAUGGAGAAAAAUCCGUUCUAUAUUUGAGAGCAAACUACCACUUUCCAUGAAUUCCUACUUCUCUUGUUUUCUUGUCCCAAGUUAUGGACGUAUUGCUCUUUCCUUUCUCUUAACAGAAAGUCAAGAGUGUGAACAUUUGUCCCUUCUCUUGAUCUGUAGGGAUGAUGAUUUCACUGCCUACUGUUAUUUGCAGGAUCAGGAUUUCAUACAGUGCAAUCUGCUGAGUAUUUCAGGUGUUCUGAGAGAAUAAAGUACGAAUCACUGGUACAGGUACUGAUAAUGAUGCAAAAAAAGGUUGUCUGCUGGUAAGGAGGGAAAAUUCAGUAACAUUAUGGAAAUAUGCAUUACAGGAAGAGGUUUUAAAAUGUCUUAGUUCAGUUGAAAAUAAUUUUAAGUUAAAACUCGGCUUUUUCAAGUUCCCUCUUAGUUAUUAUUAUUCAGAUAUUUGGUAAUUCAACACACUCUACCACAGCAGUUUAAUUUUAAUCUGUGAAGGCAUUUGCAGCAUGAAAUUCUAACAUGGGGGAUGUUAGCUAUAACUGUGCUAGCUGUUAUUAAGUUGUCGAUUCUUAAUGAUGAGUAUUUGCUUUUUAUUCUUAUUUACAAUUUUUUUUUCUACCCAGUAGAACACAGUAAAACUUUAUUGGUUCAUACACACCGUCACAGCGUGGGCUAAUAUAAAAAUGAACAAUGCUGAGGUGGUUACUGGCAAAGCAUCAUGGCAAGAAUGCUCAAAUAACAUUUAUAUGUAAAUCCGGCUCCAGUUCAUCAGAUAUUAAGCAGUUUCAAAGUCACUGCAUUUGUGGCACAUUUAAAAGAGUUUCUUCUAUUGCACUUUGAUUCCUGUCCAGCUUUGGUUGAUGAGAGGUCAGCAAAUGUCCUCACUACAUUUCAAGUCCCACUGCACAGCCAUGCUGGCAAAUGUUGCCUCUGACAACACUGCUGCUGGUUCCUGUUGCCUCAGCUUAGACUGUCUUGACACUGGGCAUCAGUUUUCCCAUAUGUGGUUUGCAGGCUUCUAUACUGCAGAAAAUCUUAAUUGAAGGGGCAGAACAAGCAUGCAGCCUCUAGAACAGGCACAUGUACGGGCCAGCUGCUUUCUCCAGUUUGGAGAUGAGAUGUUACCUCACAUGGCAAAAGUUAAGUGUCACAGAAAAGUUCUCACUAGAGACUUAUAAGUACUACUUUUAAUAGUUCCAGGCCAUCAGUGAAUUUCACACCUCGUGUGAUCAGCUGGGACGUUCACCCAAUGGAUGCUCAUCCACAGUCCUCUGAGGCCAACAGAAAAAUGACAGUAGAACAAAGAUCUACCAUGUCCUUCAUCAUCCAGUCCCUGCAAACUUAAAUUAGCUUCACCCACGUGGCUCGGAUACAAUAUAGAAGGCUGUUUUAUUUCAUAUAUUCACAUUAUUCUGAAGAUCAACAUCUUAUUUUGACAUUAUUUUACUUCUUUUAGUGGUAUACCAUAAGCAAUAUCGGGGAGAAGCCUCAUGGCCUUGUGUGAAUGUAGGAGGAAACAAUGAACUUGUUGGACAGUCUUCCUUGAGACCCUUGAGCAGCUGUAGUUGUGCCAAUUGCAAAAGAAGUCUGCUUGAGACAUGGAAUAUUGUUUUCCUCAGCUGGAUUCCCUCCCAUUAUCAGCAGACUGAUGUAAGACGUGAUAGUUAUUGUGGAUGUUGAGCACUUUCAUGGGGCUGUGAAGAACUGGAAGAAUAUAAUGGUGGGGCAUGAUCAUCAUCAUCAUCACAACAAUAAUAGCAAAGAAAAAACAGAACCAGCAAAAUCUCACUGCUGUUUGAAAAUGAAGUUAUGUGGCCAGAUCAUAUGGAUCUAAGAGAACACACAAAGUGUGUAAUGCAUAAUGGUGAGAAAUGCUUUCUUUAAAGGAAAGAAUUUAACUGUUGUUACUAGAGAAGGAAAGUGGUGUGAAUAUGAACAGCUCAUUGAAAUGUACAAACAUGAACACAGUCAAAAAUUAGAGUAAUCACUAGAAGAACAGAAGUUUUACUUAAAAAUAUUAUUUAAAUCUAUGAAAGCCCACUAGCUGUCAGAAUUCAAUGCU